rnacentral:rRNA from 1 species
UGAAGUUUUCGGAUGGAAGAAGUUUGGCUUAGUGGCGGACGGGUGAGUAACACGUGAGCAACCUGCCCUUCAGAGGGGGAUAACAGUUGGAAACGACUGCUAAUACCGCAUGACGUUGCGGGGCCGCAUGGCCCUGCAACCAAAGGAGCAAUCCGCUGAGGGAUGGGCUCGCGUCCGAUUAGCCAGUUGGCGGGGUAACGGCCCACCAAAGCGACGAUCGGUAGCCGGACUGAGAGGUUGAUCGGCCACAUUGGGACUGAGACACGGCCCAGACUCC